rnacentral:rRNA from 1 species
CCUACGGGUGGCAGCAGUGAGGAAUAUUGGUCAAUGGACGAAAGUCUGAACCAGCCAAGUAGCGUGAAGGAUGACUGCCCUAUGGGUUGUAAACUUCUUUUAUACGGGAAUAAAACGUUCCACGUGUGGGAGUUUGUAUGUACCAUACGAAUAAGGAUCGGCUAACUCCGUGCCAGCAGCCGCGGUAAUACGGAGGAUCCAAGCGUUAUCCGGAUUUAUUGGGUUUAAAGGGAGCGUAGGUGGUUUGUUAAGUGAGUGGUGAAAGUUUGGGGCUCAACCGUAGAAUUGCUGUUGAUACUGGCAGGCUAGAGUACAGUAGAGGUGGGCGGAAUGUGUGGUGUAGCGGUGAAAUGCUUAGAUAUCACGAAGAACUCCGAUUGCGAAGGCAGUUUACUGAACUGCAACUGACGUUGAGGCACGAAAGUGUGGGGAGCAAACAGGAUUAGAUACCCCUGUAGUC